UACGAAGGGGGCUAGCGUUGUUCGGAUUUACUGGGCGUAAAGGGCGCGUAGGCGGCCUUCUCAGUCGGGUGUGAAAGCCCGGGGCUCAACCCCGGAACGGCACCCGAGACGGGUUGGCUGGAGACCGGGAGAGGAGGGUGGAAUAGCCAGUGUAGAGGUGAAAUUCGUAGAUAUUGGCUGGAACACCGGUGGCGAAAGCGGCUCUCUGGCCCGGUUCUGACGCUGAGGCGCGAAAGCGUGGGGAGCAAACAGG
rnacentral:rRNA from 1 species